rnacentral:rRNA from 1 species
GACGAAGGGUGCAAGCGUUAAUCGGAAUUACUGGGCGUAAAGCGUGCGUAGGCGGUUUUUUAAGUCUGCUGUGAAAUCCCCGGGCUCAACCUGGGAAUGGCAGUGGAAACUGGAGAGCUAGAGUGUGUCAGAGGAUGGUGGAAUUCCCGGUGUAGCGGUGAAAUGCGUAGAGAUCGGGAGGAACAUCAGUGGCGAAGGCGGCCAUCUGGGACAACACUGACGCUGAGGCACGAAAGCGUGGGGAGCAAACAGG